rnacentral:lncRNA from 1 species
GUGGUGGAAACUUCUUUUUCUUUCCCUCUCACUUGGUUUAUUCAUAGGCAGAAAAGGAGCCACUGUCCUCAUCAUUCCUGAUUGUUUCUAACCUACAAAUGCCUCCCACUUUCCCCAUGUUCGGAGGAAUGUGGUCAUUUGUCAAGCUGCCCUGCUGUGGCCUAUUCCCAGCCACUGCUGCCUGGGAAGGAGGAAGACAGCACUUUACAGAAUCAGAGGAGAGGAAGUGCCUUGACACACGCCUGAAGUGAAGGCACAGAUAAUUCGGGACAUGACUCUUGGUUAGUUCGAAGCUGGAAGAACAGGCACACAGAGGCCACAGUAUCAGGCCAUCAGUAUUUCCACCAUCAUCAUCUCCAACAUUGCCAACAGCGUCAUCAUAACCAUCGCUAUCAUGACCCCCACCACCAUGACCAUCACCAUCAUCGCCAUCACCAUCAUCCUCAUGACCAUCAUCAACCAUCACCAAUCACCAUCAUCAUCAUGAAGGAUAACAAUUUUGAGCAUGACAUUAGGUUUUAUAUUAAACUUGCUACAUGGCCUAUCUUAUUAAAUCUUUCUGAAAUACCUAGAAGAUGAAAAAUAUCUUGCUCUGUGUUUCCAUUUCAUAGAUGAUGAAGCUAAAGUUCAUCUAGGCCAGGUGACUUCCCCACAUUUCCCAGGUAAGAAAGACGGGAGCCAACCCCUUCUACUGUGUGAUACUGCCCCACCCCACGAAAAGC